UUUUUUAUCAUCAUACUAUAUAUCGAUGUCCAUGUCAUUGAAAUUUUGUUAUAUACCAUAUAAAAUAAAUAAAAAAUGAUUGUUUUGAUUUAUUUAAUAAAAAAGUAUCUUAAGUAAACAAGAUGUAUUGUUUAUUUUUAUGUGUUUACUCUAAUUUAAUUAUGUAUUGUUUAUUGUUAAUUUAAUUAUGUGUUUACUCUAUAUUAAUAAAGUUUCUCAGAAAGGCUCCAGGUGAAGCCACGUCAGCAGACCCUGUUCAUUUUAUUGACACGUGUCCAAGAGGGAGGAGCUUCACUUUUUUCUUAUGGGAGAGUUUGGUUUUUUUUUUGGGCUUUAGUUUGAAAGAAGAAUUCUUCUUUUACGGGAGAGUUUAGUUUUGUUGGGCUUUUGUUUUUAAUUUGGGCUUUAGUGAUCUUGCUAGGGUUCACGGUGUAUCUUCACGGCAUUGCCAUCUCCGCCUUCCUCUUUCCAUCCUCUUUGCUUUCUCACCAUCUCUGUAACGUAGUCUUCCUCAUUGAAAUCGAUCUUUAAUUUGAUCAUUAAUUUUCACCCCACCUCUCUUCCCACUCCAUCUCAUUUACUCUCAUGGUCGACCCGGUUUUGUAACAGAUUGAAGGUGGCUUUAUAAAUAAGUGCGUCUUGGAGCUAUGAGGAUCUACAGCUCUGAGAUUUAUAGCUUAAGCAAUCCGACACGCCUUCCGAUAUGUCUUCUUAUGUUCUUCUCGCUAACUUGAGAGCAGGCCGUUGCUCAAACACCGCUGAAGUUCGUCUUCUGAGGUUCUGGGAAGCUCGCAACGACAGGAAAGAUGGAGAGCUUAUGAGCCUUGACAUGCUUCUCCUUGAUGAACAGUCUACGCUGAUACACAGGAGCAUGAACUCAAGCCGCGUUGACACUUUCCGGAGGCGGCUCAGUGAAGGCUCCGUCUACUCUCUCAGUGGUUUCGACGUGGCACGGGCUAACCAAAAAUUCUGACUCUCUGACUCUCCGGUGUCCAUACGCUUCAAUGAUGGGACUGAGUUAUUCAGGUUUCGCAGCCAUGAACAGCUUCUGGCAUUGGCAAAUACUAACAGAGAACUCCCAGGUUUAUCUCUUCUGUACUAAUACACUUAUCCAAUUGCCUUUUCUCACCUCUAUUAACGUUUGUUUUUUUUAUUUAAAAAAAAAACAAAUUUCAAGAUAUCGUUGGUGAAGUAAGGAGCACGAUCACCGACGUACGCGGUCCUCAGCGUGUAAUGGUGACUCUGCGUUUGGAAGGGUAAGCUGAAUAUUUGUUUAUCCAGUAAUUGACAUCAAACAAACUCAUGUUGUUUUAGCUUUGUCUUUGAUUUCCAUGGUGUGUAUUGGGCAACACUGGAUCUGAAUUGAGUUUCAAACGACAUAUAUUACAGUGCGUAUAGUGCUCUAACGAGAGGAUCAGUCAUACCAUAUACGCUCCACGUUUUGGCUUUGGAUUGAGAUACAACAAUUGCUUGGCUCUCUGUUAUGUAUGUAUUAUAUGCAACAUGACUUGAUCUUAGCUUUUCUUUUCCUUCUCUGAGUGAGGAUAACCUGAGAGCAGCACUUGGUAGAAUGGGAUUGAGUUCGCGAGGAAUGGAAGGUGUUAUUGAUCAAGUGCGGAACAAACAUUAUCAGCUUGCAUGCACAAUGACCUUUGAAGCUGUUUAUGGCACAUCGUGUGAUGCUGGUAUCAACCAUCCAAACCAAUACUUCGAGGAGAGUCGGAAGAUUUUGAAAUCCAAGACGCCCCUGCUCCGGUUUAAAUUAUGAAUACGAUGAGGAAUUGUGUUGAAUUAGAAUCACAGUUUUUCAGAAAUUUCAACUCCUGAAAACCAUGCCUGCAGUAUGCACAAACCUUUCGGCU